AUUGAACGCUGGCGGCAUGCCUUACACAUGCAAGUCGAACGGUAACGGGCCUUCGGGUGCCGACGAGUGGCGAACGGGUGAGUAAUGCAUCGGAACGUACCCAUCAGUGGGGGAUAACUCUCCGAAAGGAGGGCUAAUACCGCAUAUUCUGUGCGCAGGAAAGCGGGGGACCGCAAGGCCUAGCGCUGAUGGAGCGGCCGAUGUCAGAUUAGCUAGUUGGUGGGGUAAAGGCCUACCAAGGCGACGAUCUGUAGCGGGUCUGAGAGGAUGAUCCGCCACACUGGGACUGAGACACGGCCCAGACUCCUACGGGAGGCAGCAGUGGGGAAUUUUGGACAAUGGGGGCAACCCUGAUCCAGCCAUGCCGCGUGAGUGAAGAAGGCCUUCGGGUUGUAAAGCUCUUUCGGCCGGGAAGAAAUCGCAUCUCCUAAUACGGGGUGUGGAUGACGGUACCGGAAUAAGAAGCACCGGCUAACUACGUGCCAGCAGCCGCGGUAACAC
rnacentral:rRNA from 1 species